rnacentral:rRNA from 1 species
CGGCACGGGUGAGUAACGCGUAUCCAACCUGCCGUCUACUCUUGGACAGCCUUCUGAAAGGAAGAUUAAUACAAGAUGGCAUCAUGAGUCCGCAUGUUCACAUGAUUAAAGGUAUUCCGGUAGACGAUGGGGAUGCGUUCCAUUAGAUAGUAGGCGGGGUAACGGCCCACCUAGUCUUCGAUGGAUAGGGGUUCUGAGAGGAAGGUCCCCCACAUUGGAACUGAGACACGGACCAA